CACACACACACACACACACACACACACACACACACACACACACACACACACACACACACACAUAACCAGACCACAUCCCAAACUAUUUUGUGAUUAUAAUAAUUACAUUCACUCAUUUGUCCUGUCCACAGUUUAGCUGACAUGAUCAGUCAGCUAGGACUUGCAUCUCAGAAACGAAAGGAGCACUAAGGUGAGUUCCCCAAGGAGAGUGACUCCCAACGAAAGCGUGACGUGACGUGACGUUUGCUCAGUGUUGCGCUGACACUGUGGCUUUGGAGGGGGGGGGGGGGGGGCUAGGGCAGGGGCAGGGGGGCUAGGGUGGCAGAAUCGCAGUGUCACAACAUUACAGCAAUUGUUUUUUUGUCAGAUGUGAUGUGCUGGCAGGGUCUACUGUGUCCCCUCCACAGUGUCAUCUGGAUCCCGGCUCUUCUCACACUCAGCGAUGGGGCAGGGCUCAGAUUCUGAUCGGGCUAGGGUUCUGAUCUGGCGUGCAGCCUCGCACAUUUCAUUUUGCACGCUCAUCGCUUAGAUGCUGCAUCUGGAGGGAGGAGUGAACGAGCGCCGACAGCUGUGACGCGCCAAGAUGGCGAACGAAGACACAUACUCCAAUGGCGUCCUGUCAAGAUGGCGAACAAAGACACAUACUCCAAUGGCGUCCUGUCAAGAUGGUGAACAAGGUCAUACUCCAAUGGCGUCCUGUCAAGAUGGCGAACAAAGACACAUACUCCAAUGGUGUCCUGCCAAGAUGGCGAACAAAGACACAUACUCCAAUGGCGUCCUGUCAAGAUGGCGAACGAAGACACAUACUCCAAUGGCGUCCUGUCAAGAUGGCGAACGGCGAUCCACAAAGCUUUUGACCUUAGGCAUCGUGAUGUUGAUAAAUGGUCCCACACAGAUUUGAGGUGCGUGUCCAAUGUCAUGAUCAGAUCGGGGUUGCGUUCUGCUCGGUAUCAGCCUCAUCUUCUCAUCCGUGGGCUUUUGACUUAACUGCCCCCCCCCCCCCCCCCCCACCCCCCGAAGAAAUGCCCCCACAAACACUUCAAACACAGCAGGACUGAAGGCAGGACAUGGCUUUCCAUGGCUAAUGUAGGCAUUUUUCAUCAAUCCUUGUUUAAAAAUAAAUAUUAUAAGAAAUAACAAACGAACAUAUUCUGUGUCUUCUUCUGCCUCCACAUUGAAACAAGAACAGUUUCUACAACAGAGUGUCUCUCAGUUCAUUCAAAUGGGAGGUCGAUUACAAAGUGUGUGUUUGUGUGUGUGUGUGUGUAUGUGUUUGUGUGUCUGUGUGUGUGUGUGUGUGUGUGUCUGUCUG
ensembl:lncRNA